AGCUCCAAUAGCGUAUAUUAAAGUUGUUGCAGUUAAAAAGCUCGUAGUUGGAUUUCUGUUGACAAUUACUGAACCGCUCUUCGAGUGUGCUUUCAGUUUAUUGUUAGCAUUUUUCUAGAUACGGCGCUUGACAGUAAUGUUAAGUGUUGUUUCUAGAAUGUUACUUUGAGAAAAUUAGAGUGUUUCAAGCAGGUGAACUGCCUUGAAUACUCCAGCAUGGAAUAACAAGAUAAGGCUUUUAUCCUUCUUGUUGGUUCUAGGAUGGAAGUAAUGAUUAAUAGGGACAGUUGGGGGCAUUCGUAUUUAACUGUCAGAGGUGAAAUUCUUAGAUUUGUUAAAGACGAACUACUGCGAAAGCAUUUGCCAAGGAUGUUUUCA
rnacentral:rRNA from 1 species